CGCGUCGCCGCUGCCUUUUUGCACAGUCUCGUUUGGGCAGGCAACGCUGUUAUCGUCCAAGAGAUGGCAAAGCAGAUAUCCGGCAGAUCCAGGUCCAUGACCACUACCAUCAACAACGGGCUCUUGUCUACCAAUCGCCGUCAACGCUUUUUUAUGAUCGCCUUAGAGCAUGCCAUAUGUCAAUCGAUCUUUCCCCGCAGUUUUACCGAUCCCGGUGAUAGAUGUGUAUUUUUCUCUAGGGACGAAUAAAAGAAACAAAAGACAAAGGUGCUAACAGGCGCGUCUAUCACAUCACGAAGAGAAACACUGCGUGGGAAUGAACGAGUAAGAAAAAGGUGUUGGGCUAUUUACUAGAUUUGGCAAUUCCGAACAAAAAAGCCGAUAUAGGCACUAAUAAUAACUUUCUUCAUGCCCGUCAUCAGAUUCAUCAUACACGGUAACAGCACAGUAGUGGUAGACGCGACGGCUCUCGCUGGGAUGAGGGGCUUCCGGCUUAACGGCUCACCUACCCAAUACCUGGGUGCAACUUGGGUGCAUCGACAAUCAGACGCGUUAGAACAUAAAAAUCAUGACACGUUAGCUGUCAUAAAACGAAAGCGCAAAAGAUGAAAGCAAAGCGCUUACGGCGUUUAUAUUUAGUUGCAGACGAGUCGAUGGAGUGGAUGGAAGAUGUGAGCUAUCGGGGAAUGAACUAGAAAUAAACGAAGCUCUACGGGUCCGUAAAAAAUCAUGUGGCAGGUCUAAAUUUUAAAGAGAUGGGCGGCAUAUUUAAAAGGACUAACCGAGAAGCAGGAUUGUCAGACCGAGAAACAUGACUCACGACGUAAGACACAGGAAAACGAACCAAAAAAUGUGACGCCACUAAUGCAAUGACUCCGCCUUGUACGAGCUAAAUAAUGAAACGAAAAAAACGGGCAGAGAACGCAUGAUACGGGUAAGCAGACACAAGAGAUGACAUGACUGAGCGAAACGAAUAGUACAGGAUACAUGAAAAAUAGGUAUUCGCAGUCGUUCAAGACGUUCGAAGGUCUAAGCUGUUGUUCCGAAUGAUAUAAACCGUCAGGUGUGAGAUCUGCAUGCUUGUGCAUGACGCGCAUGUUCUAUGGCCGAAAGCUUGUUAAUGCAAAACGUCCAACGUAAAAUCGUCAACCUGAUAAGCAAAUGUGAAGAUAAAGCGAUUCGUGAAGAGUUGGAUGGACGAAAGAUCUGGGCUGCGGAAAAGGACAGAAAGAUUGUGAGAAAUUGUCCCAACAUGGACAAACCUCAUACUAAUCGUAGCUAAUACAUUGCAGAAAAAUAGAAAUCUGAAAAAAAAACAAGCGAAAACUAAAAUGACUGAUGAAUAUCGUUACAAAUGCCGUACGUUAAUAAUGGAAAAACAAACAAACAAACAUUUACAUAUAUAUAUAUACAUAUAUAUAUAUAUAUAUAUAUAUAUAUAUAUAUAUAUAUGGAAUACUCAUAGUUGAUCUAGACGAAGAAAAAGUGAACGGUGAAAAAAGUCACUGCCUUGAAAAAUCCCUACAGCCUUUUGCUGGUACUUGUGGUCUGUAUUCCGUAAUGAUCAUAAAGAUUGUGGAAAUGAUGCUAAUCGCAUAAUUAUAAUAAUGUUCAGGGUAGUAGGAAUAACGGUAAGCAAGUUAGAGUGCGCGCGACCUGAACAAGCUAAGAACCCGAUCAAAUCAAUGUCUUAGUGAUUUACCUAACAAGAUGCCACUCUGUGCACUAGCUUCAGACUGGAGACAAAUGGUAAUAGCCUGAAUGACGACAAGGCCCACGCGACACGGGUUAGCUUUUUUAUACACCUAAACAUACACAUGGCACGCAAUAAUAAACAAUAAAACAAAUAACAAUAAUAAACGAACAAACAGAUUCAUGCCUGCAGUGAAUAGUAUAUAUAUAUACACGGCGUCGACUAUAUUUAUGUGGUACUAUCAUGCCAGCAAAAGUGUCACAGGAAAUAAAGAAUAUGCUGUUAUUGUCA
rnacentral:lncRNA from 1 species